rnacentral:rRNA from 1 species
GGAUGCGAUCAUACCAGCGCUACA